rnacentral:rRNA from 1 species
AACGAACGUUAGCGGCGCGCCUAACACAUGCAAGUCGAGCGAGAAAGGGAGCAAUCCCCGGUACAGCGGCGCACGGGUGAGUAACACGUAGGUAAUCUACCUCCGAGUGGGGGAUAACCUUCCGAAGGAGGGCUAAUACCGCAUAAGACCACGACCUCGCAAGGGGAAGGGUCAAAGCCGGCCACUAUACAUAAGCUGGCGCUUGGAGAUGAGCCUGCGGCCCAUCAGCAGUUGGUAGGUAAUGGCCUACCAAGGCGUAGACGGGUAGCUGGUCUGAGAGGGAUGAUCAGCCACACUGGAACUGAGACACGGUCCAGACUCCUACGGGAGGCAGCAGUGGGAAUCUUGCGCAAUGGGCGAAAGCCUGACGCAGCGACGCCGCGUGGGUGAUGAAGGCC